UGCGCGUGGGGGAGAGGAGAAGGAGCUGCUUGCGUUGAUGUUAUUAGUGGGGAGGGGAUUGCCGGACCCCGGCUGGCUCUGUCUGCACCGUAGCUGCUUCUGCGGGCGAGGAUUCGUGGCAGCUGCAGAGCAACUGAAUUUGUCUUGAACAUCUCUGGAGGGACCUGAAAAUAGCUGUCCACCAACAGUUGCCAUUCAACCUAACUGAGCUUGAGAAGAUUUGCAAGGAAGAAUGGCAGAACAUCCCCUUAUUCAGAUCCCCGAAAGACCAAAAAAUUAGUGCCAGAAGGGGCUAGUUUAAGCACUGAGAAAGCAGCACAGCAUUGCUGUUGGAGCAGAGUUCAAAGGCAGGCUUAGAAGUGGUGAUUCCAGUGCCUAAGAACACCUGACCGUCUUUCUUCCUGCAGACAAUUCAGCCUGGCUAAUUCUGCAUGUCAUUCUAAUGGCUCCUACAGAGACACCUAGUGGGUUAUAGGUAUCCACAACCAUACACAGAUAUGGCCAGAACUGGGAAUUGAAAUGAAGAUCAGUGAUUUGUUCCCUCAAACCAUUAUUUCAUAUCACAGAAUCACCAGGAAUGCAUCCAGUCAGAAGUCAUAUAUCAGAAUAUGUCUGAUAUCAAUUGCUUUUCUUUGGAAUCUGGAACAGUCAUUUUCCUUGGGAUAUCAUAUGGAACAUAAUUGUCCAGCUGACAGGCUGGGAUUCAGUUGUUUAAUAGGCAAGCAGAGCAGGAAGCGAUAAUAGCCAAGUUGGCCUUGCAGUUAUUCCCAUGAACCACUGGACAGGGGAAAGAUGAAAACCUAGUGCCAUCUAGUGCUCAGUGAGGGCAAAGCAAAUGCAAAUCAGUCCAAAUUGUCAGGAUGACAAAUUUUAUCUUAAUAAAAAAAGAAACAUAAUAAUACUGGAGGCUUCAACCAUUUCUUGUGAAAAAUAUGUGAAAUAAUUAAAAGCAAAAGCAGCUGUCCUGCCCAGGAUGUAAACCAAAAUACAACCCAAAUCGAUACUGGUAUUUAUGUCAUGUUUGCAUCAGUUCACAGAAUGAGGUGGAACAUGGGCAUAAUCUACAUAUAUGCAAAUUGCAUCUUAUCAGGGACAGAUUCAGAGACAGUGUUAAGGUAAAGCCUUCUUUGACUGCAGCUUGGCAAUUUCAUGAACUUGAUUGUAAAGUCUUCUUGACAGCAGUACUGAAGUAGCUUCCGUGUGUGUGUGUGUGUGUGUGUGUGUGUGUGUGUGUGUGUGUGUUUUAAACUCCUAUAGACUUAGGAGUUUCUGGCAAGCUCUCAUCCCUGGUCAGCAAGGCAAUAUUUAUAAAAAGCUGAGUAUUAUUUAGGAAAUUGUAGUAAAUAAAAAGAAUCAAUAUAAACUGGUUAUCAGGAGCUAUGUGCUCAGAGAUUACAAACUCAAUAUAGAUGAUAAGAAUUUUUUCUUGCCCUGUAUAGUGAGUCCUCUCUUCUCAUUUGGUGGCCAAAGUAUUUAAGCUUCAGCUAUAGUAUUUGUCCCUCUGAAGGACAAUCAGGAAUAAUUUCCUUUAGGAUUGACUAAUGUGAUCUACUUGCAGCACAAGGGACUCUCAAGGGUCUUCUCUAACACCACAAUUCGAAAGCAUCAGUUCUUGCACUCAGCCUUCUUUAUGGUCUAAUUCUCACAGCCAUACAUUACUUCUGGGAAAACCAUAACUCUGACUAUAUGGACUUGUGUCAGCAAGGUGAUUUCUCUGCUUUUUAAUAUGUUGUCUAGGUUUGUCAUAGCUUCCCUCCAAAGGUGCAAGUAUUUUUUAAUUUCAUGACUGCAGUUGCUGUCUGCAGUGAUCUUGGAGACCAAGAAAAUAAAAACUCACUGCCUCCAUUUCCCCCACUUGUAUUUGCCAGAAAGUGAUAGGACCGGAUGCCAUGAUCUUAGUUUUUUUUAAUGUUGAGUUCAAGUCAAAGACUUGAACUGAACCUUCUCCUAAUCAAAUAGAUUUUUGAUUCCAGAUUGUAGUUUUAUCUACUGAUUAUAUGUAAAUAUAGAUAUAGAUUAUCAACUAAUGCUCUCCAAAUAUAAGACAUAUUUAUAUUGCAUGGUUAUACUUUCUGAGUAUCAUGGGAAUUAUAGUCCAGUGGCUCCAAGAAGGCAGCAAUUAAGAAUACAUAGAUACACUGUAUAGGACAAGGGCAAGCAUAGCAACCUGCAUGGAUAUAAAUAUAAUUUGGUCAUUAUAACAUCAAAAUAAUCAAGAUACAUUAAAAAUAUCUCAAAUCUUUCUGAGAGAGAUUGGUGGUUCAGAAAUGUGAAAAAUAAAUAAGAAUAUGUAAAUAAAUAAAUACAUUAAUUCAAUGAAAAUUAAAUGUGAAAAAUCUAUGCAGUAUUUGAUUUGUGAUACAUAUUACUUCAGAGCUUUUAGUACACUAAUUUACUAUCUAUAGUAUUAUAUAUUAUAUAUAAUAUAGUAAUAACCUUUAAUAUAAUAGUAUAUGCAAAUUUUAAUAAUAAUUUAACAAUUUUGCAUAUAGUCAAGUGUUGCGUACAUAGUAUUUGUAUUGUUACUUUACAAACUUAAGUGCCAAAUGUAGAAUUAAGAUACAGCAGCAGAACAACUGCUUAAAAUUUGUUUGCUUCCUUCAGCAGUUUCUUGGUAACAAAAAGACCAUGUGCAUCUCACCUGCAUGUAGCAUUGGGAGGAUUUAAUUGCUCUCGGAUCUUCACCAUGGAAGCAAUUCCCAUUGGUUUGGGGCAAAAAUUCAUGCAGAUGAUGACACUUAUUGAUGGUUGAUGACAUAGAGAUGUUUUCAAAAACAUUGUACAAUGGUUCUUUUAUUGAAUUAAAACAUUUCUCAAGAAGUACCUGUGCAAAGACAAGAUUGUGGUAUCUGUGCAGGA